AUUGAACGCUGGCGGCAUGCUUUACACAUGCAAGUCGAACGGCAGCGCGGGGCAACCUGGCGGCGAGUGGCGAACGGGUGAGUAAUACAUCGGAACGUACCCAGAAGUGGGGGAUAACGUAGCGAAGGUUACGCUAAUACCGCAUACGUUCUACGGAAGAAAGUGGGGGAUCGCAAGACCUCAUGCUUUUGGAGCGGCCGAUGUCUGAUUAGCUAGUUGGUGAGGUGAAGGCUCACCAAGGCGACGAUCAGUAGCUGGUCUGAGAGGACGACCAGCCACACUGGGACUGAGACACGGCCCAGACUCCUACGGGAGGCAGCAGUGGGGAAUUUUGGACAAUGGGCGCAAGCCUGAUCCAGCAAUGCCGCGUGAGUGAAGAAGGCCUUCGGGUUGUAAAGCUCUUUUGUCAGGGAAGAAACGGCUGGGGAUAAUACCCCUGGCUAAUGACGGUACCUGAAGGAUAAGCACCGGCUAACUACGUGCCAGCCGCCGCAGUAACAC
rnacentral:rRNA from 1 species